rnacentral:sRNA from 1 species
UAUCCCCCAAACUAAGGGGGGAUGAGAACCACCGACCGGGGUUCGACAACUGGCGCAGCCAGUUGGACAGACGACGAGCUUGCGAGGAGACUACCCGAAGGGCGAGCGCAGCGAGUCAAUCCCCCCCUCACCGCCA